GGUUGUGUGGUGUAACUGGUAACACGCUGCUUUUGCAAAGCAGAGAAGCGGUUCGAAUCCGACACGAUCC
rnacentral:tRNA from 1 species